rnacentral:lncRNA from 1 species
GUGGUACCUAACACUACAGGGAGAUAACUCCGUAAAGUCAGCUAAACGUUUUAAUCACAUUGUUUUGUAAAGGGAAUAUUAAGCUUCUCAAUGAUCAAAAUUGGUGUUUGUCAAACUGCUAUAUAACCAGUGUAAUUUUUCUGACAAAACGGUUGGUUCAAAAUUUUUGAAAUUUUUAUAGUUUUGUUAAAGGGUCAAAGUAAAUACUUUGUCAAAAUUUUAUGACAAUUAAACGAGACAAAUAAAUUUUAGUGAAAGUGUU